UUUUGAUGAUCUUCCGAGUUUUGAUGAUGACAGUGAUGCUCCUCGCUUGCCGGAGGUUUCGCCGGUACAAUCGUUGUCUCGUACCUUCAGAACGAUGCGCCACCAGCGGUACCGCCGGUAAGCAUCAGACAUGUUUAUUGAAGCUGACAUUGUUGACAGAAUCCAAUUUAAUAAUAAGAUACACGUCGACUAAAAAUUUAACGGAGUUAUAAAGUUACAAAGUUACGAUGUUACAAAGUGGAUUCUCGACGCUAAAAGGUUAAAGUAGGAAAGAAAAACUAAUUGGGUGUCCAUCUGAAGUUUUAAACUCACCUCGAAGACCUCGAGUUCAAGUGUAUCAGUUUCGACGCUCA